UACUCCUUGUGAUUUGGUUUU
ensembl:piRNA 21ur-7609 ncRNA